rnacentral:rRNA from 1 species
CAGAGGCGAUGAAGGACGUGCUAAUCUGCGAUAAGCGUCGGUGAGGUGAUAUGAACCGUUAUAACCGGCGAUUUCCGAAUGGGGAAACCCAGUGUGUUUCGACACACUAUCAUUAACUGAAUCCAUAGGUUAAUGAGGCGAACCGGGGGAACUGAAACAUCUAAGUACCCCGAGGAAAAGAAAUCAACCGAGAUUCCCCCAGUAGCGGCGAGCGAACGGGGAGGAGCCCAGAGCCUGAAUCAGUGUGUGUGUUAGUGGAAGCGUCUGGAAAGGCGUGCGAUACAGGGUGACAGCCCCGUACACAAAAAUGCACAUAUUGUGAGCUCGAUGAGUAGGGCGGGACACGUGGUAUCCUGUCUGAAUAUGGGGGGACCAUCCUCCAAGGCUAAAUACUCCUGACUGACCGAUAGUGAACCAGUACCGUGAGGGAAAGGCGAAAAGAACCCCGGCGAGGGGAGUGAAAAAGAACCUGAAACCGUGUACGUACAAGCAGUGGGAGCCUCUUAAUGGGGUGACUGCGUACCUUUUGUAUAAUGGGUCAGCGACUUAUAUUCUGUAGCAAGGUUAACCGAAUAGGGGAGCCGAAGGGAAACCGAGUCUUAACUGGGCGUUAAGUUGCAGGGUAUAGACCCGAAACCCGGUGAUCUAGCCAUGGGCAGGUUGAAGGUUGGGUAACACUAACUGGAGGACCGAACCGACUAAUGUUGAAAAAUUAGCGGAUGACUUGUGGCUGGGGGUGAAAGGCCAAUCAAACCGGGAGAUAGCUGGUUCUCCCCGAAAGCUAUUUAGGUAGCGCCUCGUGAAUUCAUCUCCGGGGGUAGAGCACUGUUUCGGCAAGGGGGUCAUCCCGACUUACCAACCCGAUGCAAACUGCGAAUACCGGAGAAUGUUAUCACGGGAGACACACGGCGGGUGCUAACGUCCGUCGUGAAGAGGGAAACAACCCAGACCGCCAGCUAAGGUCCCAAAGUCAUGGUUAAGUGGGAAACGAUGUGGGAAGGCCCAGACAGCCAGGAUGUUGGCUUAGAAGCAGCCAUCAUUUAAAGAAAGCGUAAUAGCUCACUGGUCGAGUCGGCCUGCGCGGAAGAUGUAACGGGGCUAAACCAUGCACCGAAGCUGCGGCAGCGACACUAUGUGUUGUUGGGUAGGGGAGCGUUCUGUAAGCCUGUGAAGGUGGCCUGUGAGGGUUGCUGGAGGUAUCAGAAGUGCGAAUGCUGACAUAAGUAACGAUAAAGCGGGUGAAAAGCCCGCUCGCCGGAAGACCAAGGGUUCCUGUCCAACGUUAAUCGGGGCAGGGUGAGUCGACCCCUAAGGCGAGGCCGAAAGGCGUAGUCGAUGGGAAACAGGUUAAUAUUCCUGUACUUGGUGUUACUGCGAAGGGGGGACGGA